rnacentral:rRNA from 1 species
GACGAACGCUGGCGGCGUGCUUAACACAUGCAAGUCGAACGGAAAGGCCCUGCUUGCAGGGUACUCGAGUGGCGAACGGGUGAGUAACACGUGGGUGAUCUGCCCUGCACUUCGGGAUAAGCCUGGGAAACUGGGUCUAAUACCGGAUAGGAGCCAUUUUUAGUGUGAUGGUUGGAAAGUUUUUUGGGUGUAGGAUGAGCUCGCGGCCUAUUAGCUUGUUGGUGGGGUAAUGGCCUACCAAGGCGGCGACGGGUAGCCGGCCUGGGAGGGUGGACGGCCACAUUGGGACUGAGAUACGGCCCAGACUCCUACGGGAGGCAGCAGUGGGGAAUAUUGCACAAUGGGCGCAAGCCUGAUGCAGCGACGCCGCGUGGGGGAUGACGGCCUUCGGGUUGUAAACUCCUUUCGCUAGGGACGAAGCUUUUUGUGACGGUACCUAGAUAAGAAGCACCGGCUAACUACGUG